UACGGGGGGGGCAAGCGUUGUUCGGAAUUACUGGGCGUAAAGGGCUCGUAGGUGGCCAACUAAGUCAGACGUGAAAUCCCUCGGCUUAACCGGGGAACUGCGUCUGAUACUGGAUGGCUUGAGUUCGGGAGAGGGAUGCAGAAUUCCAGGUGUAGCGGUGAAAUGCGUAGAUAUCUGGAGGAAUACCGGUGGCGAAGGCGGCAUCCUGGACCGACAUUGACGCUGAUGAGCGAAAGCUAGGGGAGCAAACGGG
rnacentral:rRNA from 1 species